rnacentral:rRNA from 1 species
CCUACGGGUGGCAGCCGUAGGGAAUAUUGCUCAAUGGGGGAAACCCUGAAGCAGCAACGCCGCGUGAAGGAAGAAGGCUUUCGGGUUGUACACUUCUUUUAAGGGGGAAGAGCAGAAGACGGUACCCCUUGACUAAGCCACGGCUAACUACGUGCCAGCAGCCGCGGUAAUACGUAGGUGGCAAGCGUUGUCCGGAUUUACUGGGUGUAAAGGGCGUGCAGCCGGAGAGACAAGUCAGAUGUGAAAUCCACGGGCUCAACCCGUGAACUGCAUUUGAAACUGUUUCCCUUGAGUGUCGGAGAGGUAAUCGGAAUUCCUUGUGUAGCGGUGAAAUGCGUAGAUAUAAGGAAGAACACCAGUGGCGAAGGCGGAUUACUGGACGAUAACUGACGGUGAGGCGCGAAAGCGUGGGGAGCAAACAGGAUUAGAUACCCCUGUAGUC